AUUGAACGCUGGCGGCAGGCCUAACACAUGCAAGUCGAACGGUAACAGGAAACAGCUUGCUGUUUCGCUGACGAGUGGCGGACGGGUGAGUAAUGUCUGGGAAACUGCCUGAUGGAGGGGGAUAACUACUGGAAACGGUAGCUAAUACCGCAUAACGUCGCAAGACCAAAGAGGGGGACCCUCGGGCCUCUUGCCAUCGGAUGUGCCCAGAUGGGAUUAGCUUGUUGGUGGGGUAACGGCUCACCAAGGCGACGAUCCCUAGCUGGUCUGAGAGGAUGACCAGCACACUGGAACUGAGACACGGUCCAGACUCCUACGGAGGCAGCAGUGGGAAUAUUGCACAAUGGGCGCAAGCCUGAUGCAGCCAUGCCGCGUGUAUGAAGAAGGCCUCGGUUGUAAGU
rnacentral:rRNA from 1 species